UACGAAGGGGGCUAGCGUUGCUCGGAAUUACUGGGCGUAAAGCGCACGUAGGCGGCGCAGCAAGUCAGGGGUGAAAUCCCGGGGCUCAACCCCGGAACUGCCCUUGAAACUGCAGUGCUAGAAUUCUGGAGAGGCGAGUGGAAUUCCGAGUGUAGAGGUGAAAUUCGUAGAUAUUCGGAAGAACACCAGUGGCGAAGGCGACUCGCUGGACAGACAUUGACGCUGAGGUGCGAAAGCGUGGGGAGCAAACAGG
rnacentral:rRNA from 1 species